ACACAUGCAAGUCGAGGGGAAACGACAUCGAAAGCUUGCUUUCGAUGGGCGUCGACCGGCGCACGGUGAGUAACGCGUAUCCAACCUGCCCAUCACUUGGGGAUAACCUUGCGAAAGUAAGACUAAUACCCAAUGACGUCUCUAGAAGACAUCUGAAGGAGAUUAAAGAUUUAUCGGUGAUGGAUGGGGAUGCGUCUGAUUAGCUUGUUGGCGGGGUAACGGCCCACCAAGGCGACGAUCAGUAGGGGUUCUGAGAGGAAGGUCCCCCACAUUGGAACUGAGACACGGUCCAAACUCCUACGGGAGGCAGCAGUGAGGAAUAUUGGUCAAUGGGCGAGAGCCUGAACCAGCCAAGUAGCGUGCAGGAUGACGGCCCUAUGGGUUGUAAACUGCUUUUAUAAGGGAAUAAAGUGAGCCUCGUGAGGCUUUUUGCAUGUACCUUAUGAAUAAGGACCGGCUAAUUCCGUGCCAGCAGCCGCGGUAAUACGGAAGGUCCGGGCGUUAUCCGGAUUUAUUGGGUUUAAAGGGAGCGUAGGCCGGAGAUUAAGCGUGUUGUGAAAUGUAGACGCUCAACGUCUGCACUGCAGCGCGAACUGGUUUCCUUGAGUACGCACAAAGUGGGCGGAAUUCGUGGUGUAGCGGUGAAAUGCUUAGAUAUCACGAAGAACUCCGAUUGCGAAGGCAGCUCACUGGAGCGCAACUGACGCUGAAGCUCGAAAGUGCGGGUAUCGAACAGGAUUAGAUACCCUGGUAGUCCGCACGGUAAACGAUGGAUGCCCGCUGUUGGUCUGAAUAGGUCAGCGGCCAA
rnacentral:rRNA from 1 species